GGUCUAUUUCUGCUCAAAUGUUUCUCAGUAUAUUUCGGUUUUGACGUGGGUAUUAUUUCCUCCUUGCAUUUUAUCUCUUGUAUUCUUCCUUCCCGUUUUCCUUUAUUUCUUGCUACUUACCAUGCUUUGCUCCGCCUUAUUGCCAUUUUUGCAGGAGGUGUGUUGUAGUCUUUUGAAAUAAUGUUAUGAUAUUCAGUGUUAGAGAAUAAUUGUUGUUAACUAAGAG